CGCACCCAGCCCCAAAUUGCUCUUAAAUGAAUUAUCUCAGUUCCCAAAUCACUCUUAAAUGAAUUCUCUCAGUCCAUUCCCCCAACAAUGCUUUAAGGUAGGUAGUAUUAUCGUCUUCCUUUUACAGAUGAGAAAACAAUACCUACAGUGGUGAAACAGCUUGCCCAAGGGCACACAUGGAAAGUCAGUGUAUCACCAAGUGAUCCAUCUCUGUGGGAAUAAAAAGUAUCUGUUAAUUCCAGCCUCUGCACUUUGCAUUAACUAAAGAGCGUCUGCGAGACUGGGAGACUGGCGC
rnacentral:lncRNA from 1 species